AUCAGGAAGAACCAAUUACUUUAAGUGAGCCGAAGUCGACAACUACCCUUUCUCAAGAGCAGAAUGAUACUGUAGUAUCAGAAGUUGUUCCAACUGAAAAAACUGAUAAUGAAACCCCAUUGCUGGAUCUAUCUGAUUUGCCAGUCAUUCCUAACACUGACACAUCCUAUCCUACAGUUACUCACCCCUGUCCUGAGUUAAGUCCUGUAGAAGGUCCAGAUAGUGUUAGUGAGCCAGAUCAUGACGCCUUGCGUAGAUCUGAACGUCAGAGAAGAGCACCCGGAAGGUUUACUUAUCCUCAAUUAGGCAAACCAUUUAUUUCUUUUGCUCAGACUAUCCUUGAGGCUUUCAACAAUGCUUUAGUUGAAACGUUUGAGGGUAAUCCUCUCCCACGUGAAAAUGUCAUGAAGGGACUCAUGCCAGUUUAGAGAGGGAGGGUGUAACCCAGUUGACAAAUGCAUAAUAAAAAGGUACAAUAAUUAGUGAUAAAAAGCAUAAAUAGUAAAAUGGGAUAAUAAAUAGUGAUAAUCCUAGUGAAUCAAUUCAUGAAUGAUGGGUUGUUAUUGUUAAAAACACGAUUUGAAUGUAUUUGAUAUAGCAGUACUUUUACUGUGACAGUUACGAUCUGGUUCUUUUAUUUUGACAUGCUGUUUAGCAAGCAUUCGGUUUCUGAUGGAGCCAUUCAGUCUGUUGAGCGGAUGAGAGCCAGAGAGUUGGAAACUCCACGUUUUCAGAGCUAGAAACAAUUGAAAGAAACUAAUUCUAAGUUGUUUACGAAGUUUAAGUUUCCUUUGGAGUACUGAGCGACCAGCUCUGUAAAUGCUGUAUGUUUGAAGACCAGAAGCUUUGUUUCGUCGAGUAUUUCUUUUGUUUGAAUCGUCUCGGUCAAGUUUUUGAGCUGGAUCUGGAUUUCGCUGAGGAUUCGUGGACUACAUUAGAUGGCGAGCCACCCACCCAUUCGAAUGUGAUCCUGUUCUAUGUCGUUGCACAUGGCAUAUCUGGUAGGAUUGUGGCCUGCUCGUGUCACAUCACUGACUAUGACUGACUUGACUUAUUGACUUGAAUUAACACUUUACGAACUGAACCAAGGAAUAACGCCUUGAACUGAACUCCUGGAAAGGAACUCUCUAAACUUUUCUCUUUGAGGAUUUAAAGGACUAUUUCCCAAGUUUUGAAAGACAAUUCAUUUUUAUUUUAUUUUAAAGGGUCCGAUCUUUUAUUUCGGGUAAUUGUAAAUAUUUCAACCUUUCAAUUUAUUACUAAAAGAAAGAAAAACUUA